rnacentral:piRNA from 1 species
UAAAGCAAAGACUCGAGUCUACAGGGAC